rnacentral:rRNA from 1 species
UGUCGAGUGAUCUUGCGCGGACAAUGUAACGGGGCUCAAGUUCAGUACCGAAGCUGCGGAUGCGACUCUUUGAGUCGCGUGGUAGCGGAGCGUCGAGCGCGCAGCGAAGCGGCGGGAUAACCCAGCCGUGGAGUGCGUUCGAGUGAGAAUGUUGGCAUGAGUAGCGAAAGAGGGGUGAGAACCCCCUCCGCCGUAUGUCCAAGGGUUCCUGGGCGAGGCCAAUCCUCCCAGGGUGAGUCGGGAGCUAAGGCGAGGCCGAAAGGCGUAGUCGAUGCACAACUGGUUGAUAUUCCAGUACCACCAUGUUCGCGACCGUUCCAAUACUUUGUUGCUAAGGGGCUGUGUUGACUUCGGUCAACACGAACCGACCCACAUUGUUGCGGAAGGCUAUAGGGGGACGCAGGAAGGUAGAUGAACCCGGUGAAUGGUAGAACCGGGGUAAGCGUGUAGGAGGAGGACCAGGCAAAUCCGGGCCUCACAUACUCUGGGACGUGAUACCGAGCCGCUUCAGGCGAAGUCAUUAAUCCUAUGCUGCCUAGAAAAGCCCAGUAGCGAGUUGACAUGGUGCCCGUACCCCAAACCAACACAGGUGGACAGGUAGAGCAUACCAAGGCGAGUGGGAUAACUAUGGUUAAGGAACUCGGCAAAUUUCCUCCGUAACUUCGGGAUAAGGAGGACCCCAGUAGCGCGACGAGACUUGCUCUCCAAGCGUGAAGGGGUGGCACAAAAUUGAGGGAAGCGACUGUUUACCAAAAACACAGCAGCGUGCUAAGCCGUAAGGCGCUGUAUACGCUGUGACUCCUGCCCGGUGCUGGAAGGUUACGGGGAUGGGUUAGUCCUUCGGGACGAAGCUCUGAACCUAAGCCCCAGUAAACGGCGGCCGUAACUAUAACGGUCCUAAGGUAGCGAAAUUCCUUGUCGGGUAAGUUCCGACCUGCACGAAUGGAGUAACGACUUCCCUACUGUCUCAACCAUAGACCCAGCGAAAUUGAAGUACGAGUAAAGAUGCUCGUUAGCUGCAGAAGGACGGAAAGACCCCGUGGACCUUUACUAUAACUUGAUGUUGUGUUUUGUCAUAUGUUGUGUAGGAUAGGUGGGAGACAAGGAAGCAUGGACGCUAGUCUGUGUGGAGUCAUCGUUGAAAUACCACCCUGCAUAUGGUGAGGCUCUAACCUAGACCCGUUAUCCGGGUUGGGGACAGCGUCAGGCGGGUAGUUUAACUGGGGCGGUUGCCUCCUAAAGAGUAACGGAGGCGCCCAAAGGUUCCCUCAGCCUGGUUGGCAAUCAGGCGUCGAGUGCAAUGGCAAAAGGGAGCUUGACUGCGAGACCUACAAGUCGAGCAGGAGCGAAAGCUGGGCAUAGUGAUCCGGCGGUUGCGUGUGGAAGCGCCGUCGCUCAACGGAUAAAAGGUACCCCGGAUAACAGGCUAAUCUUGCCCAAGCGUCCAUAGCGACGGCAAGGUUUGGCACCUCGAUGUCGGCUCAUCGCAUCCUGGGGCUGAAGCAGGUCCCAAGGGUUGGGCUGUUCGCCCAUUAAAGCGGUACGCGAGCUGGGUUCAGAACGUCGUGAGACAGUUCGGUCCCUAUCCUCUGUAGCCGUAGGUGAAUUGAGGAAAGCUGUCCCUAGUACG